AACGCUGGCGGCGUGCCUAAUACAUGCAAGUCGAGCGAACAGACGAGGAGCUUGCUCCUCUGACGUUAGCGGCGGACGGGUGAGUAACACGUGGAUAACCUACCUAUAAGACUGGGAUAACUUCGGGAAACCGGAGCUAAUACCGGAUAACAUGUUGAACCGCAUGGUUCAACAGUGAAAGACGGUCUUGCUGUCACUUAUAGAUGGAUCCGCGCCGCAUUAGCUAGUUGGUAAGGUAACGGCUUACCAAGGCAACGAUGCGUAGCCGACCUGAGAGGGUGAUCGGCCACACUGGAACUGAGACACGGUCCAGACUCCUACGGGAGGCAGCAGUAGGGAAUCUUCCGCAAUGGGCGAAAGCCUGACGGAGCAACGCCGCGUGAGUGAAGAAGGUCUUCGGAUCGUAAAACUCUGUUAUUAGGGAAGAACAAAUGUGUAAGUAACUAUGCACGUCUUGACGGUACCUAAUCAGAAAGCCACGGCUAACUACGUGCCAGCAGCCGCGGUAAUACGUAGGUGGCAAGCGUUAUCCGGAAUUAUUGGGCGUAAAGCGCGCGUAGGCGGUUUUUUAAGUCUGAUGUGAAAGCCCACGGCUCAACCGUGGAGGGUCAUUGGAAACUGGAAAACUUGAGUGCAGAAGAGGAAAGUGGAAUUCCAUGUGUAGCGGUGAAAUGCGCAGAGAUAUGGAGGAACACCAGUGGCGAAGGCGACUUUCUGGUCUGUAACUGACGCUGAUGUGCGAAAGCGUGGGGAUCAAACAGGAUUAGAUACCCUGGUAGUCCACGCCGUAAACGAUGAGUGCUAAGUGUUAGGGGGUUUCCGCCCCUUAGUGCUGCAGCUAAC
rnacentral:rRNA from 2 species